rnacentral:rRNA from 1 species
UAAGGAACAUUGCUCAAUGGCCGAAAGGCUGAAGCAGCAACGCCGCGUGAAGGAUGAAGACCUUUCGGUUGUAAACUUCUGUAGAAGGGGAGAAAUUUUCCCGUUUCGGGAAUUUGAUAGUACCCUUGAAGUAAGCCCCGGCUAACUACGUGCCAGCAGCCGCGGUAAUACGUAGGGGGCAAGCGUUGUCCGGAUUUACUGGGUGUAAAGGGUGCUCAGGUGGUUAUGCAAGUCAGGGGUGAAAUCCUAGGGCUUAACUCUGGAACUGCCUUUGAUACUGCAUAGCUUGUGUACGGAAGAGGCCGAUGGAAUUCCUGGUGUAGCAGUGAAAUGCGUAGGUAUCUGGAAGAACACCAGUGGCGAAAGCGGUCUCUUGGUCCAAUACUGACACUAAGGCGCGAAAGCGUGGGGGAGCAAACAGGAUUAGAUACCCUGGUAGUCCACGCUGUAAACGAUGAAUACUAGGUGUCGGGCUGAAAGGUUCGGUACCGAAGCUAACGCAUUAAGUAUUCACCUGGGAG